rnacentral:rRNA from 1 species
UACAGAGGGGGCGAGCGUUGUCCGGAAUCAUUGGGCGUAAAGCGCGUGUAGGCGGCCCGAUAAGUCCGCUGUGAAAGUCCAGGGCUCAACCCUGGGAUGCCGGUGGAUACUGUCGGGCUAGAGUCCGGAAGAGGCGAGUGGAAUUCCCGGUGUAGCGGUGAAAUGCGCAGAUAUCAGGAAGAACACCUAUGGCGAAGGCAGCUCUCUGGGACGGUACUGACGCUGAGGAGCGAAAGCGUGGGGAGCGAACAGG